CAUUACGUUGACAUUACGUUGUAGGUAAGAUCAACGCUGCAGGCAUCACGAUACCGGACUCGCACGCCCCGCCCUUCAUCAUGGUCGGUCUCGGGACGGGACUCGCUCCCUUCCGCGCUUUCAUCCAAGAUCGCGAGGUCGCUCGCGUCCGCGGAGAACCCACAGGACCUAUGGCUCUGUUCUUCGGUGCUCGCUACAAGGCGACCGACUACACCUAUGGUGAUGAGCUGGAGGCGUACCAUUCCUCAGGUAAGGGCGUGCUGACGGUGAUAGAGAACGCGUUCUCAGCUCCUCC